GACGAACGCUGGCGGCGUGCUUAACACAUGCAAGUCGAACGCUGAAGACCUGGCUUUUGUUGGGUUGGAUGAGUGGCGAACGGGUGAGUAACACGUGAGUAACCUGCCCUCUUCUUUGGGAUAACGCCCGGAAACGGGUGCUAAUACUGGAUAUUCACUGGCCUUCGCAUGGGGGUUGGUGGAAAGGUUUGUUCUGGUGGGGGAUGGGCUCGCGGCCUAUCAGCUUGUUGGUGGGGUGAUGGCCUACCAAGGCUUUGACGGGUAGCCGGCCUGAGAGGGUGACCGGUCACAUUGGGACUGAGAUACGGCCCAGACUCCUACGGGAGGCAGCAGUGGGGAAUAUUGCACAAUGGGCGAAAGCCUGAUGCAGCGACGCCGCGUGAGGGAUGGAGGCCUUCGGGUUGUAAACCUCUUUCGCUCAUGGUCAAGCCGCAACUGUGGGAUGUGGUGAGGGUAGUGGGUAAAGAAGCGCCGGCUAACUACGUG
rnacentral:rRNA from 1 species